UCAUCCGGCAUCCUUUUAGUCUUGAAGAUCACGUUGAAUAGCCUAGAGAGCCACUCCCCUCCAGGUUUACCCAUGCACUUCCAAAACUCCAACGGGAUCUCGUCAGGCCCGGUAGCUCGACCCCUACUCAUCCUACGCAACGCCCCUAAAGACCUCCUCCACCCUAAUGCGCCUGCAGUACCCAAGGUCUCUAUGACGCUCUGAAUGCCCNNN
rnacentral:lncRNA from 1 species